AACGCUGGCGGCAGGCUUAACACAUGCAAGUCGAGCGCCUCGCAAGAGGAGCGGCAGACGGGUGAGUAACGCGUGGGAAUCUACCGUACCCUACGGAAUAGCUCUGGGAAACUGGAGGUAAUACCGUAUACGCCCUUCGGGGGAAAGAUUUAUCGGGGUAUGAUGAGCCCGCGUUGGAUUAGCUAGUUGGUGGGGUAAAGGCCUACCAAGGCGACGAUCCAUAGCUGGUCUGAGAGGAUGAUCAGCCACAUUGGGACUGAGACACGGCCCAAACUCC
rnacentral:rRNA from 1 species